rnacentral:rRNA from 1 species
GCUCAUGACGAACGCUGGCGGCGCGCCUAACACAUGCAAGUCGAACGAGCGAGAGAGAGCUUGCUUUCUCGAGCGAGUGGCGAACGGGUGAGUAACGCGUGAGGAACCUGCCUCAAAGAGGGGGACAACAGUUGGAAACGACUGGUAAUACCGCAUAAGCCCACAGCUCGGCAUCGAGCAGAGGGAAAAGGAGCAAUCCGCUUUGAGAUGGCCUCGCGUCCGAUUAGCUGGUUGGUGAGGUAAUGGCCCACCAAGGCGACGAUCGGUAGCCGGACUGAGAGGUUGAACGGCCACAUUGGGACUGAGACACGGCCCAGACUCCUACGGGAGGCAGCAGUGGGGAAUAUUGCACAAUGGGGGAAACCCUGAUGCAGCGACGCCGCGUGGAGGAAGAAGGUCUUCGGAUUGUAAACUCCUGUUGUUGAGGAAGAUAAUGACGGUACUCAACAAGGAAGUGACGGCUAACUACGUGCCAGCAGCCGCGGUAAAACGUAUGUCACAAGCGUUGUCCGGAAUGACUGGGUGUAAAGGGAGCGCAUGCGGGAACACAAGUUGGAAGUGAAAUCUAUGGGCUCAACCCAUAACUGCUUUCAAAAGUGUCCCUCUUGAGUAGUGCAGAGGUACGCGGAAUUCCCGGUGUAGCGGUGGAAUGCGUAGAUAUCGGGAGGAACACCAGUGGCGAAGGCGGCCUACUGGGCACCAACUGACGCUGAGGCUCGAAAGUGUGGGUAGCAAACAGGAUUAGAUACCCUGGUAGUCCACACCGUAAACGAUGAUUACUAGGUGUUGGAGGAUUGACCCCUUCAGUGCCGCAGUUAACACAAUAAGUAAUCCACCUGGGGAGUACGACCGCAAGGUUGGAACUCAAAGGAAUUGACGGGGGCCCGCACAAGCAGUGGAGUAUGUGGUUUAAUUCGACGCAACGCGAAGAACCUUACCAAGUCUUGACAUCCUGCGACGCACAUAGAAAUAUGUGUUUCCUUCGGGACGCAGAGACAGGUGGUGCAUGGUUGUCGUCAGCUCGUGUCGUGAGAUGUUGGGUUAAGUCCCGCAACGAGCGCAACCCUUACUGUCAGUUACUACGCAAGAGGACUCUGGCAGGACUGCCGUUGACAAAACGGAGGAAGGUGGGGAUGACGUCAAAUCAUCAUGCCCUUUAUGACUUGGGCUACACACGUACUACAAUGGCGUUAAACAAAGAGAAGCAAGACCGCGAGGUGGAGCAAAACUCAGAAACAACGUCCCAGUUCGGACUGCAGGCUGCAACUCGCCUGCACGAAGUCGGAAUUGCUAGUAAUCGUGGAUCAGCAUGCCACGGUGAAUACGUUCCCGGGCCUGUACACACCGCCCGUCA